rnacentral:rRNA from 1 species
UAGGGAAUUUUGCACAAUGGGCGCAAGCCUGAUGCAGCAACGCCGCGUGAGUGAAGAAGGCUCUUGGGUUGUAAAGCUCUUUCGAUUGGGAAGAAGGGUUCACUUGCAAAUAGUCUGUGGAUCUGACGGUACCAGAAGAAGAAGCACCUGCUAACUUCGUGCCAGCAGCAGCGGUAAUACGAAGGGUGCAAGCGUUGUUCGGAAUUACUGGGCGUAAAGCGCGCGUAGGCGGGCUGGAAAGUCGAUUGUGAAAUACCUGGGCUUAACCUGGGAACUGCAGUCGAAACUCCCGGUCUUGAGUGCCUGAGAGGAUGGCGGAAUUCCCGGUGUAGUAGUGAAAUACGUAGAUAUCGGGAAGAACACCUGAGGCGAAGGCGGCUAUCUGGCGGUGCACUGACGC